UUUCUCUCUUCUCAAACUCGCCGCUGCCCUCUUUUUCUUCUCUUCUCAAAUUCUCUUUCCCUCUCCGGCGAAGCCGCGCCGGCCGAGCUUCUGCUGCUGUCUCUCUCUAAUCCCAACUCAAGGAGCCGCUCAUCACUCUUCCUCAAAGCUUACGCUCGGCAUCCUCAAAACUCUGAUCGGCUUCACCUUCUCCGGCUAAAUCUGGCAGGCUGCGCCUCCUCCUGGCGUUCAGCUGUCAUCUGCUUCGGUUGGCUUCGACCGGCGACGAGUCUAACCCCGGCGCCGUUCUCUCUCCUCCCCGCAGAGCCCCAAAAUCGAGCCCUAAAAUCUGGAACACCGCUGCUACUCCUUCGUUCGGAAUCCGGCGAGCAUCGUCGGCUGGGAGCGGCGCCGUCCAACUCCGGUUCUCAAAUCCCCCUCCGACGUCGAGCCCUAACUCUUCCCUGAGGUUUCAAACUCCGACCUUCAUCUCAAAUCCGACCGCGGAACCCAGAUCGAGCUCUAACUUUCAAUUACCAGGUCACCGCUGCUCCGCGUCCCCGUCUGAAAUCGCCGCCGACUGCUGCUGCUUCGCCUGGAGUCGUCGCCGACUGGAGUUGCUGCUGCUCGUCCGGUGGUCAGCGGACGUCGUCUGGGAGCGCCGCCGCCGGUCUUCCACGGCUACCGCGUCGCCGUCCCCUUCACCUCUCGAUCCGACCUCAGCCGAGGCGGGUGCCGCCGCCGCUGCUGUCCAGAAUCGGCGAGGGUACUUCGCCGCUGCUUCUCCGGCGUUCGGCUCUUCCUUCUCUGUCCGUUGAGCUCCGUCAGGCAGCAGGAGAUGCCGCUGAAAUCUGUCAUCUGCUCAAGAACCAGCUCAAGCCUCUCUCUCUCUCUUGGUUCAGGCGAUGUCGCCUCUGCUCAGCUGACGACCUCCAUCUCCUCUUCAUCGGUCAGCGUUGACGUCAUCUGGUAUCCCUCCCCGAUUUAAUGAAAUCAGGUUGAAAUGGAGGCUCCCCUGCUCUUUGGGAGAUUCUUGGUGAAAAGUGAUAGUGAGUCUUGCGUUGCUUGGCUGAAGUUGAGACUAAGAUAAGGAAGAGUUGUUGCUGCACUAGUAUGGUGGGGGAGUUGGUGGUUGUGGAGUUGGUGGGGAGAAAAGGAUGGUGGGAAGUGUGGUGGAGUGGAUGGUGGAAGAGUAGGUGUAGUGGUGGGAAAAAAUGUAGUGGAGGAUUAAUGAUGUAUAUUCUAUGUCUCGGUGAUUCUGUAACUGUAAUAAAAUACUGGCUUCUGUUCA